UCGAGCGCCGUAGCAAUACGGAGCGGCAGACGGGAGAGUAACACGUGGGAACGUGCCCUUUGGUUCGGAACAACCCAGGGAAACUUGGGCUAAUACCGGAUAAGCCCUUACGGGGAAAGAUUUAUCGCCGAAGGAUCGGCCCGCGUCUGAUUAGCUAGUUGGUGGGGUAAUGGCCCACCAAGGCGACGAUCAGUAGCUGGUCUGAGAGGAUGAUCAGCCUCACUGGGACUGAGACACGGCCCAGACUCCUACGGGAGGCAGCAGUGGGGAGUAUUGGACAAUGGGCGCAAGCCUGAUCCAGCCAUGCCGCGUGGGUGAUGAAGGCCCUAGGGUUGUAAAGCCCUUUCGGCGGGGAAGAUAAUGACGGUACCCGCAGAAGAAGCCCCGGCUAACUUCGUGCCAGCAGCCGCGGUAAUACGAAGGGGGCUAGCGUUGCUCGGAAUCACUGGGCGUAAAGCGCACGUAGGCGGAUUGCUAAGUCAGGGGUGAAAUCCUGGAGCUCAACUCCAGAACUGCCUUUGAUACUGGCGAUCUC
rnacentral:rRNA from 1 species